GAAGUCAGAGUUAGGUCACUACAACUAUGCAGAUAUAAAGCUUCUAUUUUAGUGUCUCAAAUCCUUUCAGAAAUUUAGGUAUUCAAGGCAUUUAGACAUUAAAAGCAGUUCUAUUCUCCUAAGCAACUUUUUAGAUCUGGACCACGCUGUUUUGUUGGUUUUGUGACCCUGAUCCCAUGGGCAUGAAGCAUUAAAGGAACUUCAGCGGAAAUUUAUGUCCAGUAUUGGAAAGUGCAUUCAAAAAUAAGACUCAAAGAGAGUUCAGAUGAGUGCUACAGGAAACACCUACAAAACAUGACCUGAAGGUACUGGAUAGAAUUCAGUGC
rnacentral:lncRNA from 1 species